GCGCUUAAUUGCGCGGCGAUAAACCUUACACACAUUGUCUAGUUUUUUUGAACUUUGCUUUGGGUGGUGAGCCUGGCUUACUGCCCAAAGGUCUAAACACAUUUUUUUUAAUGUUAAAACCUUUAACCAAUAGUCAUGAAAAUUUUUAACAAAAAUUAAAAUCUUCAAAACUUUCAACAACGGAUCUCUUGGUUCUCGCAACGAUGAAGAACGCAGCGAAAUGCGAUACGUAUUGUGAAUUGCAGAUUUUCGUGAAUCAUCGAAUCUUUGAACGCACAUUGCACCCUCUGGUAUUCCAGAGGGUAUGCCUGUUUGAGCGUCAUUUCUCUCUCAAACCUUCGGGUUUGGUAUUGAGUGAUACUCUGUCAAGGGUUAACUUGAAAUAUUGACUUAGCAAGAGUGUACUAAUAAGCAGUCUUUCUGAAAUAAUGUAUUAGGUUCUUCCAACUCGUUAUAUCAGCUAGGCAGGUUUAGAAGUAUUUUAGGCUCGGCUUAACAACAAUAAACUAAAAGUUUGACCUCAAAUCAGGUAGGACUACCCGCUGAACUUAAGCAUAUCAAUAAGCGGAGGAAAAGAAACCAACAGGGAUUGCCUCAGUAACGGCGAGUGAAGCGGCAAAAGCUCAAAUUUGAAAUCUAGCACCUUCGGUGUUCGAGUUGUAAUUUGAAGAUGGUAACCUUGGGUUUGGCUCUUGUCUAUGUUCCUUGGAACAGGACGUCAUAGAGGGUGAGAAUCCCGUCUGAUGAGAUGCCCAUUCCUAUGUAAGGUGCUAUCGAAGAGUCGAGUUGUUUGGGAAUGCAGCUCUAAGUGGGUGGUAAAUUCCAUCUAAAGCUAAAUAUUGGCGAGAGACCGAUAGCGAACAAGUACAGUGAUGGAAAGAUGAAAAGAACUUUGAAAAGAGAGUGAAAAAGUACGUGAAAUUGUUGAAAGGGAAGGGCAUUAGAUCAGACUUGGUGUUUUACGAUUAUCUUCUCUUCUUGAGUUGUGCACUCGUAUUUCACUGGGCCAGCAUCGAUUCGGAUGGCAAGAUAAUGGCAGUUGAAUGUGGCUUCACUUCGGUGGAGUGUUAUAGCUUCUGCUGAUAUUGCCUGUCUGGAUCGAGGGCUGCGUCUUUUGACUAGGAUGCUGGCGUAAUGAUCUAAUGCCGCCCGUCUUGAAACACGGACCAAGGAGUCUAACGUCUAUGCGAGUGUUUGGGUGUAAAACCCGUACGCGUAAUGAAAGUGAACGUAGGUGAGAGCUCUUUUUGAGUGCAUCAUCGACCGAUCCUGAUGUUUUCGGAUGGAUUUGAGUAAGAGCAUAGCUGUUGGGACCCGAAAGAUGGUGAACUAUGCCUGAAUAGGGUGAAGCCAGAGGAAACUCUGGUGGAGGCUCGUAGCGGUUCUGACGUGCAAAUCGAUCGUCGAAUUUGGGUAUAGGGGCGAAAGACUAAUCGAACCAUCUAGUAGCUGGUUCCUGCCG
rnacentral:rRNA from 1 species